rnacentral:lncRNA from 1 species
UUUUGAUAAUGCGCUUAACAAGUAUUCAUGCCUGAAUCUAAACUUAAACUCAAACACAGCCUGAAAACUUCAAACCCAUUAACCUCGCCUUAAUACCAACAGUAAUGAGAUACAGAUAAUCAGCACAAGUCCACUCAAAUCCAGAAAUCAACACCCAAAACAUCUUAAAGGCAUGAAUUCACUUCUACAUCAUAUCAAUAACAUAAGAUAACCAAAUUAGCAUGUACAACACAUAGCCUAUUACAGAACAUUCAAAGAAAACAAAUAAAAAGGAACCCGAAACAGUUUAUAUUCAAUCAGGCUUCUGUUGGAAACACAUGUCCUUAGCUACUUGUUGACAGUGGUUUGAAGUAAUACCUGGUAUGGAACAAGGAAAAACAAAAGAGGUGAAGAAUCAGCGGUAAACAGUAGCAGGAAUCAGCUUGAACCCAGCAGUGAAAUAGUGCCAAAAAUCCAGCAAAUUCAGCCUCAAAUUUACAAACUAACACAGAUGUUUAGAACCCCAAAUGCACCAUUUAUACUGAACCCUUUAAAUCUGACUGUUUGACAAGGAAAUUAAACUUGAAAUCAAACAGAAAACUCCAACAAUUUUCAGUAUUCUUCUUAAAGAAAAAUUCCAGCCGUUUGCUUUUUUUUUUUCCAGUACUUUUUUAUCUCUUCCCGUCUCUGCCUUGAAAGGCAAGAAAACAUGCCUUUAUAUGCAAGGAAAUAAGGUAGCUUAAAGAAAAUCAAGUUUGCACUUUGCACCUGCUUGAAUUUUGGUUUUUGCUUAGAAAUUCUUAGUGUGAAGAUUAGUAUUUCAGAUAAGUCCUUACCCCAGCUUCUAGGAAGCUUCCUAUUUCAGUUAUUCAGAGAUUCUUCACCUAGAUUUCCCAAUUUACCCUUUUAAACCCUGUUAAUUACCCCUGGGCCAGGCAGAGCUAUGGAUCAAAUUGACCCCAUUUGAAAUGUUGAUGGGUCAAGUUUGACCCCAACACUUAACAGGCCCCUAUGAAGGAUUCGAAAAUGUCCUCAAAGCCCAAACAAUAUCGAAAGCUCAAACAAAAUUACUUGAAUUUUUUCAUAACUAAAAUAAGCUCAACAGGCUGAUCUUUUUUUAAAUUAAAACGACAAGCUACAAAUAAACCACAUACUCUAAUUAACCUGAGCCAAUCAUAUGACUGAACAACCAGAACAGAACUUGAACGGGCAACAUGCAUAAACUAAAACGGGAUCUUCAAGAACUUCUACGAGAAAAUUUGAAAGGCUCACGGCGUAAAUACAAACACCAUAUAAACACAGAAACUUAUAAUCAACGCUUUAAUACUUUACCAAAUUAAAAUCAAGAAAUCUAACUAAGGAGAUACCGGAGGAAAGGGAGAGAGACAACGAGAACGAACAGAAAAGAGAAGAAGUAGAAAGAUAGAAAAAGAAAAAAAAUGAAGAAAAUACCUACCAAAGUUCGGACAGUGUAGACUGGAACCCGAAUCUUCAAAUCUUCGGAUUUUCGGCCAAAUCUAAUAUUAAUCAUGUGUUCUUGUAAAGAACACACGAAUAAUGUCAUAUUAGACCUAAAUCUCUCACAGAAACUCGAUUUGGGAUUUUUGAAUUUUUAGGGUUCAUCUUCAAAUCCAGAUUCGACGAGUCUGGUGAAGAUUCGAGGAAAACCAAUCAGGGAUUUGGAACGAGGGGGUCGUGGUGGUCUUGUGGUGUAAUUUUGGUGGUGAACGGAGGUGAAACCGCCAGGUUCGAGGUGGGGAAAAUGGAGGCGGCGCUAAGGGUUUCUGUCUCUGAAGAGGGGUGGAGUCGAGAGAGACGAUGAGAGAGG